rnacentral:rRNA from 1 species
UACGGAGGGGGCUAGCGUUGUUCGGAUUUACUGGGCGUAAAGCGCACGUAGGCGGAUUGUUAAGUCAGGGGUGAAAUCCCGGAGCUCAACUCCAGAACUGCCUUUAAUACUGCCAGUCUCGAGUCCGGAAGAGGUAAGUGGAACUCCUAGUGUAGAGGUGGAAUUCGUAGAUAUUAGGAAGAACACCAGUGGCGAAGGCGGCUUACUGGUCCGGUACUGACGCUGAGGUGCGAAAGCGUGGGGAGCAAACAGG